CGGAAUCAGGGAAUAUCCGGAGCUGGAAGGGACCCACCAGGAUUUCCAAGUCCAAUCUCAUUCCUAUUGCUGGAAGCAAAUCCUUGGCAUUGGCAGCUUUGGUGUUUGGCUCGGGGCUGAUUCCCGGGAUAGGCGUCGUCUCCCGCUCCUCCUCCCGGAUCCGCCGGAGCGUCAUUCCAACCUUUUCACCAUGUAGGGCCCUUCCAGCUCGUAGCCGAUCUUCCUGUAGUAAUUCCUCGUGCCGACACCUGGAGAAGAGAGGGACAACACGGAUGAAUCCCGUGGGAUGGCAAAAGGACCGGAGGAGCUGGAGCUUCCAGGAACAGCCGCUCCUUUGUCUGGAGAAGGAGAGGGAACGCUUGGAUCCAGGAUCCAACAAAACCCCUGGCACAGCUGUGGGAUCGUUGCCGGGAGCUGAAGGGCCCGACAGCCCCCGGAGCCACUUCCAAGCGCUCCUGGGAAAGUGGGAUCCAAUUUCCUCAUCCCGCUCUCCUGAGGACUCUUCCCUCUCCUGCUGCCGCCGGGAGAUCCCGUGGAGGGCACAGGAUCCCGCAGUUCCCGGGAUUCUGGGGUAUGACAGCAGGAUUUGGGGUAAAACAGUAGGAUUUGGGGAUAAAACUGGAAUUUGGGGCAAAACAGCAGGAUUUUAGGGUAAAGCAGCAGGAUUUUGGGGGUAAAGCAGCAGGAUUUUGGGGUAAAACACCAGGAUUUUAGGGUAAAGCAGCAGGAUUUUGGGGUAAAAAUGGGAUUUUAGGGUAAACCAGCAGGAUUUGGGGUAAAACUGAGAUAUGGGGCAAAAGAGCUGGAUUUUGGAGUAAAGCAGCAGGAUUUGGGAUAAAACUGGAAUUUGGGGCAAAACAGUAGGAUUUUAGGGUAAAACACCAGGAUUUUGGGGUAAAGCAGCAGGAUUUUGGGGUAAAGCAGCAGGAUUUUGGGGUAAAAAUGGGAUUUUAGGGUAAAACACCAGAAUUUUAGGGUAAAGCAGUAGGAUUUUAGGGUAAACAAGCAGGAUUUGGGGUAAAAGUGGGAUUUUGGGCAAAAGAGUAAGAUUUUGAAGUAAAGCAGCAGGAUCUGGGGUAAAACUGGGAUUUUAGGGCAAACCAGCAGGAUUUUGGGGCAGAGCAGCAAGAUUUUGGGGUGAAACUGGGAUUUCAGGGUAAAACACCAGGCUUUUGGGGUAAAAAUGAGAUUUUAGGGUAAAGCAGCAGGAUGUUGGAGUGAAGCAGCAGGAUUUGGGGUAAAACUGGGAUUUUAGGUCCCUUCCAACCCAACCCAUCCCAUGGUUCCUUUCUCAUUCCAAGGAAGCGGAAGACGACAAGAACUCUUUCCUGAUAAUUAAUUAUUAAGAAUUAAUAAUUCUUGAGGACUGACGAGCAGGUUUCAAGCAGAGAAAGGAGAGGAGCUCUGAUCCCACCUGCCUGGAUGGGAAUCCAUGGGAAAGCCUUUUGGGAUCGUCCCUCAUCACAACGGUCUGGCCCAGAGGGGGCCAUGGCAGAAUCCAGCCCAGGAAUUCCCCUCCUGACUGACCUGGCUUUUCACUGGAAUAUUUACACCUCAACAUUAAUUAAAUAAGGAUUUUAAGCCUGGCUUAAGCAGGGGAGAGAGGGAAGGGGCCACAGGACAGGCUUAAAAAGAGUUCUGGCCCAGAGGGGCCCCAUAAAUCCCUUUCCCGCCUCAGCCCUGCCGCAUCCCGAGUAUCCCGCAGGAUUCCUUCCCAGCUCAGUAGGCUCAGGACUAAGUGAAAACGAGGCUGUUUUCAGGAUCAUUAAAGCCAUAAAUUCCCACGGCACAGGCAGGGAACUGUUGGGCUGAGCCAACAGCAGGGACUCGACUCCACACAGGCAGCUCCGGAAUCUUCUCCGGAGACGCGCAGUUGUGCCUCCCAGAUUCCUUCCCCCUCCAGAUAUUCCAGGGCUGCUCCCGACUGUUCCGAGCUCAAAAUAUUCCAGGGCUGCUCUCGAGUGUCCUGAGCUCCAAAUAUCCCAGGGCUAAUCUGCUCCCGAGCUUUCCAAAAUCCAAAUAUUCCAGGGCCAAUCUGCUCCUGAUUGUUCUGAGCUCCAAAUAUUCCAGGGAUGCUCCCGAGUGUUCUGAGAUCCAAAUAUUCCAGGGCUGCUCCCGACUGUUCUGAGCUUUCCAAAUAUUCCAGGGCUUCUCCUGAGUGUUCUGAGCUCCAAAUAUUCCAGGGUUGCUCCCCACUGUUCUGAACUCCAAAUAUUCCAGGGCUGCUCCCGACUGUUCUGAGCUCCAAAUAUUCCAGGGUUGAUCUGCUCCUGAGUUUUCCAAACUCCAAAUAUUCCAGGGCUGCUCCCGACUGUUCUGAGCUCCAAAUAUUCCAGGGCUGCUCCUGAGUGAACUCCAGAUAUUCUAGGACUGCUCCUGAGUGUUCUGAGCUCCAAAUAUUCCAGGGAUGCUCCUGAGUUUUCUGAGCUCCAAAUAUUCCAGGGCUGAUCUGCUCCCAACUGUUUUGAGCUCCACAUAUUCCAGGGAUGCUCCUGAGUGUUCUGAGCUCCAAAUAUUCCAGGGCUGCUCCCGACUGUUCUGAGCUCCAAAUGUUCCAGGGCUGCUCCCGAGUUUUCAAAACUCCAAAUAUUCCAGGGCCGAUCUGCUCCCGAAUUUUCCAAACUCCAGAUAUUCCAGGGCUGAUCUGCUCCCGAGUGUUCUGAGCUCCAAAUAUUCCAGGAGUGUUCCGAACUUGCCUCAGUUCACGUGCCAGCUGCAGUUUUGGCCACAGCAAAGCCUCUUCCAGGGUUUGUUUUUUUUUUGGGAGUAAACACCUGGAUCAGUGGGAAAAGGAGCCCUGGAUAAUCUGUGGGAUCCCUGGUGAGUGGGGAUUGUCCUUCAAGGAUGCUCCAUCCCUGGAAGUGUCCAAGGGCAGUUUGGAUUCCCUUGGAGCAACCUGGGAUAGCGGAAGGUGUCGGGGUUGGAACUGGAUGAUCCUUAAGGUCUCUUCCCAUUCCAUGACACUGGAGAACAUUCCCAAAACCUAAUUCUAAUUUCCAGAGGAUUUUCACCUCCCGGGAUCUUCAGGGACUCGUUGCCAAUUCCCGAAUGGAAAAAUAAACCCCUUUGCUGCCGGGAUCUCUGUGGGGUUCUUCAAUUAAGAAAUUAAAUUAAAUUAAA